rnacentral:snRNA from 1 species
GGAUGUGAGGGAGAUCUGGCUGUGACAUCUGUCACCCCAUUGAUCGCCAGGGUUGAUUUGGCUGAUCUGGCUGGCUAGGUGGGUGUCCCCUUCCUCCCUCACCGCUCCAUAUGCGUCCCUCCCAAAGCUGCGUGCUCAAAGAGGAUGACCUUUCCCGAUAGAGGAGGACCAUUUUUUGGUCAAGGGUAUACGAGUAGCUGUGCUCCCUUGCUAGAACCUCCAAACUCUCAGAAUGAAAAAAAAAGACCAUACGAUCAUCUCAACAGAUGCAGAAAAAGCAUUCAAUAAAAUCCAGCAACCUUCAUGAUCAAAACCCUCAAUGAACUAGGCAUAGAAGGAAUAU